rnacentral:lncRNA from 1 species
GCGGCUCCGAUGAUUGGUUAUUGGCUAAACAUGCAUUUGUUUUAUCACGUGUAAUGACUCCAUGGCUUAUAGACCCUAUCGGGCUCGUAGGCACUCGGACAGGUAUGUCUUCGGUCGUCGAACUUCACAGCUUUGUUAAUUAGGUACUAGCCAAAUAACGCAAUGAUUUCACCAAGAUCUCAUGUACAACCUAGCGCUGCGGCCUUUGAGCCUUGGCAGGUGCACUUACGGUUGACGAACCCAUCCAUAUACAAUAUGGUGCUGCGGGCUUGAGCCUUAGCAGGUGCACCUAUGGUC